rnacentral:lncRNA from 1 species
AGUAUUUGAUUUUUGCUCAAAUCCUAUGUACUAAGUGUUCGACUGAAUUUGAGGCUUGAAACCUUUGAAGGGGGGGCUGACUCUGCUGUGUGUGUGUGAGUCGAGAUCAGAGGGAGGCGGCAGCCGCGGUGGCUCGUCGCCGGCGACGGAGCGGCGGCAGUGAACCUGCCGUGGUUCCGAUCUGCCAAGAAGGGGAAGAAGAGAGGGUUUUUAGCUUCAAGUUUAAAAAAAUGAAAGGAGAAGGGGAAACUUAGGGUUUACCUGGGCUGUCUCCGGCGACGGCGGCUCCUCAACGGCCGUGGGCCUGUGCAGCCAGCGAGAGGGAGGGCGACGCGGCGGCGCGGCUUACGCCGUGUCUGCCGGCGUGUGUGGCAGUGAGGUUAGAGAG